rnacentral:lncRNA from 1 species
CUGAUGGCUGCAGUCUAUACCAUAGCUUUAAGAUACACAAGGACAUCAGACAAAGAACUCUACUUUUCAACCACAGCCGUGUGUAUCACAGAAGUUAUAAAGUUAUUGCUAAGUGUGGGAAUUUUAGCUAAAGAAACUGGUAGUCUGGGUAGAUUCAAAGCAUCUUUAAGAGAAAAUGUCUUGGGGAGCCCCAAGGAACUGUUGAAGUUAAGUGUGCCAUCGUUAGUGUAUGCUGUUCAGAACAACAUGGCUUUCCUAGCUCUUAGCAAUCUGGAUGCAGCAGUGUACCAGGUGACCUACCAGUUGAAGAUUCCGUGUACUGCUUUAUGCACUGUUUUAAUGUUAAACCGGACACUCAGCAAAUUACAGUGGGUUUCAGUUUUUAUGCUGUGUGCUGGAGUUACGCUUGUACAGUGGAAACCAGCCCAAGCUACAAAAGUGGUGGUGGAACAAAAUCCAUUAUUAGGGUUUGGCGCUAUAGCUAUUGCUGUAUUGUGCUCAGGAUUUGCAGGAGUAUAUUUUGAAAAAGUUUUAAAGAGUUCAGAUACUUCUCUUUGGGUGAGAAACAUUCAAAUGUAUCUAUCAGGGAUUAUUGUGACAUUAGCUGGCGUCUACUUGUCAGAUGGAGCUG